GCCCCAGCCUGAUGGAGGCGCCUCCGUGGGAGCCGGUGCGCAAUGACUCCCUGCCUCCCACGCUGAGCCCCGCGGUGCCGCCCUACGUGAAGCUUGGCCUCACCGCCGUCUACACCGCCUUCUAUGCGCUCCUCUUCGUGUUCAUCUAUGCGCAGCUCUGGCUGGUGCUGCGCUACCGUCACAAGCGGCUCAGCUACCAGAGCGUCUUCCUCUUCCUUUGCCUCUUCUGGGCCUCGCUGCGUACCGUGCUCUUCUCCUUUUACUUCCGAGACUUCGUGGCAGCCAACUCGUUCAGCCCCUUCGUCUUCUGGCUGCUCUACUGCUUCCCCGUGUGUCUACAGUUCUUCACCCUCACGCUCAUGAACUUGUACUUCACGCAGGUGAUUUUCAAGGCCAAGUCAAAAUAUUCUCCAGAACUACUCAAAUACCGGUUACCCCUCUACCUGGCCUCCCUUUUCAUCAGCCUUGUUUUCCUGUUGGUGAAUCUGACCUGUGCUGUGCUGGUGAAGACGGGAGACUGGGACAGGAAGGUUAUCGUCUCGGUGAGGGUGGCCAUCAAUGACACACUCUUUGUGCUGUGUGCCAUCUCUCUCUCCAUCUGCCUCUACAAAAUCUCCAAGAUGUCCCUGGCUAACAUCUACUUGGAGUCAAAGGGCUCAUCAGUGUGUCAGAUCAAGAACGUCCAUUCCUUUGAUUAUGACUGGUACAAUGUAUCUGACCAGGUAGGUGGGACAUGACAAGGUGCUGCACAGUGACCAGAUCAGUGGAAUGUAGUGAGUUGCUAUGACACUGGGGACCAGGUUGGUGGGGACCAGAUACAUGGGGGCUGGGCGAGGUGCUGCCUGAACAGGGACCGGAGCAGUGGAAUGUGGUCAGAUGCUGCCUCAGUGGGGACCAGGUUAGUAGGAUGCAGGGAGUGCCUGCUGUCAUGCAGUGUUAGGUGUACAAAAGCAAGCAGGCAUUUUUCCUUCCUGUGGGAGUUGAUUGCCCAGUGAGGUGUAGACACUGAUAACUCCUCGAAUGGGUCUCUACUGGCUUGCUCUGCAAACACUCCCUAGUGUCAUCUGGAAAAACAGCAAAUACCCAAAAGUGUGUACGUUUAGCUAUAAAAUCCCACCAGUGGUCACAACGGGAGCUGAUUUGUUAAGACAGUGAGAUUUAAAAAGAUAAAUAAAAAUGAUCGCAGGGAGCUAAAUCCCAAAUGGCUACAUGCACGUUAGCCCUGGAAAAGAUGAAACUAUGACUGUAACCUAGCAACACUGGUCAAGCCUGUCCCACAGGUGCAGCAGGGAGAAAGCUAGGCAAGGAUGCUCAGGUAUGUGGGCUGUUUGAGGAAAACCAGACGUGGGAUUUCUAGACCUUAAGCAGUGGCUGCUUAUAGAGCUGUGCUUCAUGCACAAGGGUUUUCAAGAACAGGCAAUAGCACUGGUAUGUAUGAGUUCAAACCAUCACUGCUGCCCACCCGACCUUUAUCUUUCCGAACUGAAGUUCCAUCAAGCAGCAAAUUUAACAAAUUACUUCCAAUUUUCUUUCAAUCAAGAGCGUAAAGACUCUCCGCUUGGGGUGUGAUGCUUUUGAGAUGCUCGUUUUUAGUGGCUUCAAGUGCCUGUGCCUUCUCAGUGAAAGGGAGACCACACAGGGCUGAGCCGCGGUGAUGAUCUAGAAGUAGGAGACCCGAGUAUCAUCACGAACAUUUGGUCUGGGCUUUCAGCACAAUGUGUUAGAAAAGGCUUGAGGACCAGGCUUCGGCUCAGUGUUCUCUUCCUGGUAAUGGGCUGAGAAGCUGCCAUACAUAACUGGUUCCCCUCUGUCCUGGGACUUUCCCUCCAUAGCCAUCCCCUUGGGCUCUGCCUUGCUCGGAGGACUUUUCCAGGACAAGCUGCCUGUGGUCAGCUCUCAUGGGUGAAGAAUUGUGUGUGGCUAAUGUCAGGAUGACUCUGGACAGACAAGCCGCUCUCGUUUAGGAGUCAGGGCUGGGAUGUGGGCUCUGGGUUCAUUCCUGAACCGCAAAAGUAAAUGAACAGCCAGUCAUAAAUAAUCUUCCUACAUAGUUUCCACAGUCCUCCAAGGCCUGACCUGUCCCUGGCGACCAAGUUUCAAAGUGCAAGCUUUAGGGGGAGCAUUUCGCUGUUUCCUGCUCUCCGUCCUCCAGCACACGAAGUUUCAUGACUUCAUUUUCCUUGCUCCGGAACAGGCAGAUCUGAAGAGCCAGCUGGGUGAUGCCGGCUACAUAGUGUUUGGCGUGGUGCUUUUCGUAUGGGAGCUCUUACCCACCACCUUGGUAGUUUAUUUCUUCCGAGUCAGAAAUCCCACGAAGGAUCUUGUAAGUACUCCUUCCUUGUCUGUUUGCUGGUGUCCCUAAUCCUCCUGAAACUGGCAACUAGGAUGUGCACCCCUCCCCUUUCCAGGGCACUUCUCGCAUCUCUUUGUGGAGUCAUCCAGGACUCUUUCAAGGAGAAUCUUCUUUUCCCUUAAUUUUCUCAAAGAAAAUAUGUUUGGGGAUUUAGCUGUAUUUUACAAAAGAAAUGAAAGUUAAGUACAUCUCAUGGCCUGGGGGGAAGUAUUCACUGUCCUCCAAACACAUACCCUGCCUUUUUUUUUUUUUAGCAGAAAAUGGAGGGUUGGAGAUAUAGCAUUUGGUAUUGUGCUUGCCUAAUAUGAAUGAAGCCCUGGGUUUGAUCCCUAGUCACACAUAAACCAGGCAUGUAAUCUUAGCACUGGGGAGAUAGAAGCAAGUGGAUCAGAGAGGUUCAGUGGUCCUUGUCUACAUAAUGAGUUCAAGGCCAGCUUGAGCUACAUGAUACCUUGUCUGAAAGUACCAGUAAAAGAAAACAGGGCUGGAGAGAUGGCUCAGUGGUUAAGAGCACUGACUGUUCUUCCAAAGGUCCUGAGUUCAGUGCCCAGCAACCAUAUGGUGGCUCACAACCAUCUGUAAUGAGAUCCAAUACCCUCUCCUGGUGUGUCUGAAGACAGCUACAGUGUACUCAUAAAUAAAAUAAAUCUU
rnacentral:lncRNA from 1 species